rnacentral:rRNA from 1 species
AGUAACUGCGAGUGAAGCGGGAAAAGCUCAAAUUUAAAAUCUGGCAGACUUUGUCUGUCCGAGUUGUAACCUAGAGAAGUGUAACCUGUGCUGGACCAUGUACAAGUCUCCUGGAAUGGAGCGUCAUAGAGGGUGAGAAUCCCGUCUUUGACAUGGACUACCAGUACACUGUGGUUGCACACUCAACGAGUCGAGUUGUUUGGGAAUGCAGCUCUAAAUGGGUGGUAAAUUCCAUCUAAAGCUAAAUAUUGGCGAGAGACCGAUAGCGAACAAGUACCGUGAGGGAAAGAUGAAAAGAACUUUGGAAAGAGAGUUAAACAGUAUGUGAAAUUGUUGAAAGGGAAACACUUGAAGUCAGCUGCGUUGGCUGGGGAUCAAGCCAGCUUAUUAUUUGCUGGGUGUACUUCCUAGUUGAUGGGCCAACAUCAGUUUUGACCAUCAGAGAAAGGCAAAGGGAAUGUGGCACCUUUAUAGGUGUGUUAUAGCCCUUUGUUGUAUGUGGUGGUUGGGACUGAGGACAGUAGCGUGCCAUAUGGCUGGGUUUCGACCACGUUCACGCUUUGGAUGUUGGCAUAAUGACUCUAAGUGACCCGUCUUGAAACACGGACCAAGGAGUCUAACAUGCAUGCAAGUGUUUGGGUGGAAAACCCGAGCGCGUAAUGAAAGUGAAAGUUGAGAUCCCUGUUACGGGGGAGCAUCGACGCCCGGACCAGAACUUUUGGGACGGAUCUGCGGUAGAGCAAGCAUGUUGGGACCCGAAAGAUGGUGAACUAUGCCUGAAUAGGGUGAAGCCAGAGGAAACUCUGGUGGAGGCUCGUAGCGAUUCUGACGUGCAAAUCGAUCGUCGAAUUUGGGUAU